GGGUAUAGCUCAAGCUAGUAGAGCACAUGCUUAGCAUGCAUGGGGUCCUGGGUUCAAUUCCCUAGUACUGCCU
rnacentral:tRNA from 1 species